ACUAGGGUGUAACAGGGCACUCCAGAACUUACCUGUUCUACCUGCAGGGAGUUUACCUGUGUGGGUUGAUUUUCAGGCUGGACUCCAGAACUUGGCAGGUGGGGGUUGGGGCAAGGAGGCUGAGCCGGAGUCAUUGAGAAGAAACACCUGGUGGAAAACUGUGACAGAGUCUUUGGACUCAUGUGUUCCCCUGAUGGGACUCUGUUGGGCCAAUAGAGCUUCCAGAGAAAGAAAUUUCAGGGUAAGGGUCUCAGGUCCCCAGGAGAGGGGAAGCUGCAGCUCCAAAUAGGAAAAGGCUGCAAAGAUCCAUGUGGAGACAUGGAGAAGAGCCUUGGGGAAGCAUAGAGCUGAGGUGCACUGGAAAAAGUGCAGAGACAAACCCAGAGCAUCCAGGCAGCACUGAGAAGACUGGAGACAGAGGGGCCAUGCAGAGGAGUACAUCAGUGUGAAUGCACCAACAUCAACAAAAUACCUGAUUUCAAAGUGAUGGCAAUAAUGGUGAUAGGAACUUUGAUGUGCUCCAUCUCUGGUGGUUGUCGUAUGGGAAGCAGAGAAGGUAAACAGGUCAAACAGGAAUACAUGGACUAAAGGACCAUGGAGACAAUGACAGUCAUGGACAUAUGAAGAGGUGCCGAUGGCUCCUUAUAGAAGAAGCCUUAAAGGCUGGUGAAAAGGAGGAGAGAUGAUAUCUGCUGAAGCACCCUAGGGCAGCAUAAUUCAAUACGAGUCACAGAGAGCCCCCCUUGUGGAGAGCUGGGGGCAGGAGGGCAGAGAGCAGUCUACCCUGGGAUGCUGGAGGACCUGGCCAAACUAUCACUUUGUGUGACAGGUCAUACGUUCAAAUUAAAACUUAAUAGAAACCAUACAAAAAUGUUCUACAUUUUUCAAGCAACAUCUUUGUGGUGGUUGGCCAUUUUUAUGACUGGGUUGCA